AGAGUUUGAUCAUGGCUCAGAUUGAACGCUGGCGGCAGGCCUAACACAUGCAAGUCGAACGGUAACAGGAAGCAGCUUGCUGCUUUGCUGACGAGUGGCGGACGGGUGAGUAAUGUCUGGGAAACUGCCUGAUGGAGGGGGAUAACUACUGGAAACGGUGGCUAAUACCGCAUAAUGUCGCAAGACCAAAGAGGGGGACCUUCGGGCCUCUUGCCAUCAGAUGUGCCCAGAUGGGAUUAGCUUGUUGGUGAGGUAACUGCUCACCAAGGCGACGAUCCCUAGCUGGUCUGAGAGGAUGACCAGCCACACUGGAACUGAGACACGGUCCAGACUCCUACGGGAGGCAGCAGUGGGGAAUAUUGCACAAUGGGCGCAAGCCUGAUGCAGCCAUGCCGCGUGUAUGAAGAAGGCCUUCGGGUUGUAAAGUACUUUCAGCGGGGAGGAAGGUGUUGUGGUUAAUAACCACAGCAAUUGACGUUACCCGCAGAAGAAGCACCGGCUAACUCCGUGCCAGCAGCCGCGGUAAUACGGAGGGUGCAAGCGUUAAUCGGAAUUACUGGGCGUAAAGCGCACGCAGGCGGUCUGUCAAGUCGGAUGUGAAAUCCCCGGGCUCAACCUGGGAACUGCAUUCGAAACUGGCAGGCUUGAGUCUUGUAGAGGGGGGUAGAAUUCCAGGUGUAGCGGUGAAAUGCGUAGAGAUCUGGAGGAAUACCGGUGGCGAAGGCGGCCCCCUGGACAAAGACUGACGCUCAGGUGCGAAAGCGUGGGGAGCAAACAGGAUUAGAUACCCUGGUAGUCCACGCCGUAAACGAUGUCUACUUGGAGGUUGUGCCCUUGAGGCGUGGCUUCCGGAGCUAACGCGUUAAGUAGACCGCCUGGGGAGUACGGCCGCAAGGUUAAAACUCAAAUGAAUUGACGGGGGCCCGCACAAGCGGUGGAGCAUGUGGUUUAAUUCGAUGCAACGCGAAGAACCUUACCUGGUCUUGACAUCCACAGAACUUUCCAGAGAUGGAUUGGUGCCUUCGGGAACUGUGAGACAGGUGCUGCAUGGCUGUCGUCAGCUCGUGUUGUGAAAUGUUGGGUUAAGUCCCGCAACGAGCGCAACCCUUAUCCUUUGUUGCCAGCGGUCCGGCCGGGAACUCAAAGGAGACUGCCAGUGAUAAACUGGAGGAAGGUGGGGAUGACGUCAAGUCAUCAUGGCCCUUACGACCAGGGCUACACACGUGCUACAAUGGCGCAUACAAAGAGAAGCGACCUCGCGAGAGCAAGCGGACCUCAUAAAGUGCGUCGUAGUCCGGAUUGGAGUCUGCAACUCGACUCCAUGAAGUCGGAAUCGCUAGUAAUCGUGGAUCAGAAUGCCACGGUGAAUACGUUCCCGGGCCUUGUACACACCGCCCGUCACACCAUGGGAGUGGGUUGCAAAAGAAGUAGGUAGCUUAACCUUCGGGAGGGCGCUUACCACUUUGUGAUUCAUGACUGGGGUGAAGUCGUAACAAGGUAACCGUAGGGGAACCUGCGGUUG
rnacentral:rRNA from 1 species